GCUCUUUGUGUCAGCACAAUGAUAAGCUCGUUGGACUUCUAAUCCAAAGGUCGUGGGAUCGAAUCCCACCUGGAGUG